rnacentral:rRNA from 1 species
GUGCCAGCAGCCGCGGUAAUACGUAGGCGGCAAGCGUUAUCCGGAAUUAUUGGGCGUAAAGCGCGCGUAGGCGGUUUUUUAAGUCUGAUGUGAAAGCCCACGGCUCAACCGUGGAGGGUCAUUGGAAACUGGAAAACCUGAGUGCAGAAGAGGAAAGUGGAAUUCCAUGUGUAGCGGUGAAAUGCGCAGAGAUAUGGAGGAACACCAGUGGCGAAGGCGACUUUCCUGGUCUGUAACUGACGCUGAUGUGCGAAAGCGUGGGGAUCAAACAGGAU